rnacentral:rRNA from 1 species
AACCGAAUAGGGGAGCCGGAGGGAAACCGAGUCUUAAUUGGGCGUUAAGUUGCAGGGUAUAGACCCGAAACCCGGUGAUCUAGCCAUGGGCAGGUUGAAGGUUGGGUAACACUAACUGGAGGACCGAACCGACUAAUGUUGAAAAAUUAGCGGAUGACCUGUGGCUGGGGGUGAAAGGCCAAUCAAACCGGGAGAUAGCUGGUUCUCCCCGAAAGCUAUUUAGGUAGCGCCUCGUGAAUUCAUCUCCGGGGGUAGAGCACUGUUUCGGCUAGGGGGCCAUCCCGGCUUACCAACCCGAUGCAAACUGCGAAUACCGGAGAAUGUUAUCACGGGAGACACACGGCGGGUGCUAACGUCCGUCGUGAAGAGGGAAACAACCCAGACCGCCAGCUAAGGUCCCAAAGUCAUGGUUAAGUGGGAAACGAUGUGGGAAGGCCCAGACAGCCAGGAUGUUGGCUUAGAAGCAGCCAUCAUUUAAAGAAAGCGUAAUAGCUCACUGGUCGAGUCGGCCUGCGCGGAAGAUGUAACGGGGCUAAACCAUGCACCGAAGCUGCGGCAGCGACGCUGAUGCGUUGUUGGGUAGGGGAGCGUUCUGUAAGCCUG